UAGAGGUCCGCCUGCCAGUGACUAUACGUUCAACGGCCGCGGUAUCCUAACCGUGCGAAGGUAGCGCAAUCACUUGUCUUUUAAAUGGAGACCUGUAUGAAUGGCCCGACGAGGGCUCAGCUGUCUCCUUUUUCCAGUCAAUGAAAUUGAUCUUCCCGUGCAGAAGCGGGGAUACUAACAUAAGACGAGAAGACCCUAUGGAGCUUUAGAUAAUAAGACAGAUCAUGUCAAGCACCCUUGCAAAAAAGGCCAAACUAAUUGAACACUGUCUGAAUAUCUUUGGUUGGGGCGACCGCGGCGAAACAAAAAACCCCCGCGUGGAAAUGAGGGUACCACCCUCCAAGCCGAGAGCCUCCGCUCUAAUAAACGGAACAUCUGACCUGAAAGAUCCGGCAACGCCGAUCAACGGACCGAGUUACCCUAGGGAUAACAGCGCAAUCCCCUUCUAGAGCCCGUAUCGACAAGGGGGUUUACGACCUCGAUGUUGGAUCAGGACAUCCUAAUGGUGCAGCAGCUAUUAAGGGUUCGUUUGUUCAACGAUUAAAGUCCUACGUGAUCUG
rnacentral:rRNA from 1 species